AACACUACACCGAUAAAUUUUGUGAUCGACUCGUUGAAUCAGCAUUUCACUGUCGGAAAAGACACUUUGGAUUACACUUGUCGAACGCAUCAUUCAUUUUCUCUGAAACGAAAAACUACACCAAAUCGAAAUGGAUCAGCAAAAAUUUGAAGGAAAACGGGCAGAAGGAGUGAAUGAACCACAGCACAACACAGCCACUGAACAAGCACCGAAAAUCUUCAAAUUGAACGUCGAUUGCUUCGAACACGUGUUGGAUUAUCUAUCAAUCGAUGAUUUACACUCGUUCGGACAAACGUGUAAACGAAUGCAACGAGUGGUUGGCCAUUUAUAUAAACAAAAAAUUUCUGGUUUUCGUGAAUUUACCGUCCAUUCUCCUUGUGAAACAGUGAAUUCUCUUGACGACAAAAAUGAAAUAUACUCACUGAGUUCUUGUCCAAA